AAAAUGCGAUUGACAAAAGCUGGAAGCAAUGUGGCUAAAAAAGGCAGUCCUUUUAAAGGACAAUAAAGAACUGUAAUAAAAAGAAAGAAAAGCCUUGUGGAGUUUGAGACACUUAUUGUAGAAGAACUGUUAAUGAUAGAAAUAACGAUGUAAAAUACAAAGGU